rnacentral:lncRNA from 1 species
GCAUCCUCAUUUAAUAGAGCUUGAAAUUACUAUAAUCCUUAAAGUACAGCGAGAAGAAGAAAUUUCACCUGCCUGCACAUCGGUCGUUGACUCUCCAUCUGACUUGGAGGGACUCUGAGGGACCAACCUGAGCCUAAGAAGAGGCAAGAGUCCCCUUCAAGGACACACUGGGAACUUACGGACCUCUUUCUCCAUGGUGCAGAGCGCAGAGGCUACCUGAGAAUAUCCAGAGACUACAGAGGUCAUCAAGUUGACACAUCAAUGUUUACAUGUGAACAAACUGACUUAGAAUAGUUCUUGAGCUUGCCAUUGGGAAGUGAAAAUCAACUGCUUGAAUAAAUGUAAGGACUCAGGUAGACAUCACCUUGUGACUCAACAGCAGCCAAUAAGAUGGAAAUAAAGGCUACGAAGUUAUUGGAUGGCAUCUACAAGGAAUACUUAGAUGAGGAGGUGACUCUGGUGGCAAUUGUUCUUUUGUCUUUCUCACCUUCCUUCUUGUCCUGUCUGGGAUGCUGAAGUGAUGGCUGGUAUACAGAUGCUCUGUUGUGAUGUUGAGAUAAACAUGAGAAUAAAAAUCAGCGAUUACAGAUGGCAGAGAAGAGAGAGAAAGACAGGAUGUAGGUGGAUAUUGAUAGAACUAAGUUUCUAUUGCACAAGUUCUACUACUAAACCUCUGGACUUCAUGAUAUGUGAGGGAGAAAUAAACUCAUAUUUUAGAAGAGAUCUAUGUUACCUGCAACUGGAUGGAAUGCCUAAUUGGCACAUCCUAUGUGCUCCAAACCUUCCUUAAUUUCUGUGUGUAAGGCAUACUUAGUCUUUACCCAUUAUUCUGUUCACAUUCAUUCACUCAAUCAGCCUCCCAACUCUAUGGUAAAGAGUUUACUAUAGUUUACUCUAUUACUAAGGCAGAUUCUGGAGCAAGCCCCACAAAUCAUAGACUGAAUAUCCAUUCAUUACAAGAGAGAGGUUUAAAGAUACUUCUAUCCAAACACAUUUUAAAUUUCCAGCAUCUUUGAGGUGGUGGAGGUUCGUGGUGGUUGAUAGGGUUUAAAUGACUUGUGAUUCAAGCUCCAUAUUAAAAUGUAACAGUGCAAAAGUUCAUUUUUAAAAAAAUUUAUUUUACUUUAAGUUCUGGUAUACAUGUGUAGAACAUGCAGGUUUGUUCCAUAGGUAUACAUGUGCCAUGGUGGUUUGCUGCACCUGUCAAACCGUCACCUAGGUUUUAAGCCCCACAUGCAUUAGGUAUUUGACCUAAUGCUCUCCCUCAUCUUGCCCCGCAACCCCUGACAGGGCCCAGUGUGUGAUGUUCCCCUCCCUGUGUCCAUGUGUUCUCAUUGUUCAACUCCCACUUAUGAGUGAGAACAUGUGGUGUUUGAUUUUCUGUUCCUGUGUUAGUUUGCUGAGAAUGAUGGCUUCCAGCUUCAUCCAUGUCCCUGCAAAAGACAUGAACUCAUUCUUUUUUAUGGCUGCAUAAUAUUCCAUGAGUCUGGAUUUGGUUACAGAUAGAGCUGGAUGAGCCUUAGCUAUAUCUAACGGGUUUUGACAUGUUAUAUCAAUUUCUUACUGCUUUUGUAAAUGAAUAUAUUAAGAAGAAAAAAUUGCAGAUGACCCUUUCUUUACAAACUUUUAGAGUAAUCAAGUUCAGUUAUUAAAAAAUGGAUGUUUGCAACAUUCAUAGUAAUUCUUUUCAGGAAAUUAAAAAUGAUUAAAAAUGAUAAUUAUUUUGAUCCCUUUCAGAUAUUAUAUAUUUAACUGUGAGAUAAUUCUCAGAGAUAAAUGUCAACUUUUAAAAAAUGUUAAAUAAAUCAAAAAGUCCACUCUAAAAUAAAUAAAUUAGCUCCAAUUAUUUCUUCUUUUUAAAUUUUUCCUUAUAGUUAUAAAAAUAAAGUGAAUGUUUUGGCUCGUUUCCUCAUUAAAGUUUGAAUUUUCCAGUCA